GCCCCCCCCCCGUCGUCACCUGCGGUCCUCGGGUCCGUGCUGCAGAACGUGACGUUGGCCACGGGGUAAUGGCGGCGGAAGAAGAGCCUGCGCUGGCGGUCGGUCAGGGUGAUGCCGCGCGCGGACACGUGGAAGUGAGCGGUGCACGGCGGGGGGGGCGGCGCUCCGAGCACGGCGUCGGCUGCCAGCGCCACCGCGCGCGGCCCCGUCAGCGCUUCCGUGAGCACCGAGCCGAGGUACCGCACCGUGCAGGCUGCGGGGACACCGCGCGCCGCUCCGACACCGCCCGAACCGCACCACGACCCCCCCCGUCCCAACGCCCCCCGCCCCCCACCUGCUCCCUGACGCAGCAGCUCAGCGGCGGUGCUGAC
rnacentral:lncRNA from 1 species